UACGUAGGGGGCUAGCGUUGUCCGGAAUCAUUGGGCGUAAAGCGCGUGUAGGCGGCCCGGUAAGUCCGCUGUGAAAGUCGGGGGCUCAACCUCGGAUGCCGGUGGAUACUGUCGGGCUAGAGUACGGAAGAGGCGAGUGGAAUUCCUGGUGUAGCGGUGAAAUGCGCAGAUAUCAGGAGGAACACCAAUUGCGAAAGGCAGCUCGCUGGGAC
rnacentral:rRNA from 1 species